rnacentral:rRNA from 1 species
AUUGAACGCUGGCGGCAGGCCUAACACAUGCAAGUCGAACGAGUGGCGGACGGGUGAGUAAUGUGUGGGAAACUGCCAGAGGGAGGGGGAUAACUACUGGAAACGGUAUCUAAUACCGCAUACUAUCAGAUGUGCCUAUAUGGGAAUAGCGAGUUGGUGGGGUAACGGCUCCCCAAGGCGACGAUCCCUAGCUGGUCUCAGAGGAUGACGAGCCAAACUGGAACUGAGACACGGCCCAGACUCCUACGGGAGGCAGCAGUGGGGAAUAUUGCACAAUGGGCGCAAGCCUGAUGCAGCCAUGCCGCGUGUAUGAAGAAGGCCUUAGGUUUGUAAAGUACUUUCAGCGGGGAGGCGUUACCCGCAGAAGAAGCACCGGCUAACUCCGUGCCAGCAGCCGCGGUAAUAC